rnacentral:rRNA from 1 species
GACGAACGCUGGCGGCGUGCCUAAUACAUGCAAGUAGAACGCUGAAGGAGGAGCUUGCUUCUCCGGAUGAGUUGCGAACGGGUGAGUAACGCGUAGGUAACCUGCCUGGUAGCGGGGGAUAACUAUUGGAAACGAUAGCUAAUACCGCAUAACAGUAGAUAUUGCAUGAUAUCUGCUUGAAAGGUGCAAUUGCAUCACUACCAGAUGGACCUGCGUUGUAUUAGCUAGUUGGUGAGGUAACGGCUCACCAAGGCGACGAUACAUAGCCGACCUGAGAGGGUGAUCGGUCACACUGGGACUGAGACACGGCCCAGACUCCUACGGGAGGCAGCAGUAGGGAAUCUUCGGCAAUGGACGGAAGUCUGACCGAGCAACGCCGCGUGAGUGAAGAAGGUUUUCGGAUCGUAAAGCUCUGUUGUAAGAGAAGAACGAGUGUGAGAGUGGAAAGUUCACACUGUGACGGUAUCUUACCAGAAAGGGACGGCUAACUACGUG